rnacentral:rRNA from 1 species
UACGGGGGGUGCAAGCGUUGUUCGGAAUUACUGGGCGUAAAGGGCUCGUAGGUGGCCAACUAAGUCAGACGUGAAAUCCCUCGGCUUAACCGGGGAACUGCGUCUGAUACUGGAUGGCUUGAGUUUGGGAGAGGGACGCGGAAUUCCAGGUGUAGCGGUGAAAUGCGUAGAUAUCUGGAGGAACACCGGUGGCGAAGGCGGCGUCCUGGACCAACACUGACACUGAUGAGCGAAAGCCAGGGGAGCAAACGGG